AUUGAACGCUGGCGGCAUGCUUUACAAAUGCAAGUCGAACGGCAGCGCGGGCUUCGGCCUGGCGGCGAGUGGCGAACGGGUGAGUAAUGCAUCGGAACUUGCCCAGUAGUGGGGGAUAGCCCGCCGAAAGCCGGAUUAAUACCGCAUACGCCCUGAGGGUGAAAGCGGGGGACCGAAAGGCCUCGCGCUAUUGGAGCGGCCGAUGUCGGAUUAGCUAGUUGGUGGGGUAAAGGCUUACCAAGGCGACGAUCCGUAGCUGGUCUGAGAGGACGACCAGCCACACUGGGACUGAGACACGGCCCAGACUCCUACGGGAGGCAGCAGUGGGGAAUUUUGGACAAUGGGGGCAACCCUGAUCCAGCCAUGCCGCGUGCGGGAAGAAGGCCUUCGGGUUGUAAACCGCUUUUGUUCGGGAAGAAAUCCUCUGGGCUAAUACCCCGGGGGGAUGACGGUACCGGAAGAAUAAGCACCGGCUAACUACGUG
rnacentral:rRNA from 1 species